rnacentral:rRNA from 1 species
AUUGAACGCUGGCGGCAGGCCUAACACAUGCAAGUCGAACGAGUGGCGGACGGGUGAGUAAUGUCUGGGAAACCGCCCGAUGGCGGGGGAUCACUACUGGAAACGGUAUCUAAAACCGCAUACCAUGGGAUGGGCCCAGAUGGGAUGAGCUAGUAGGUGGGGUAACGGCUCACCGAGGCGACGACCCCUAGCUGGUCUGAGAGGAUGACCAGCAACAGUGGAGAUAGGACGCGGUCCCGACUCCUAAGGGAGACAGGAGUGAGCAAUAUUGCACAAUGAGCACGAGCGUGAUGUAGCCAUGGCGGGUGUACCAAGCGGGCCUUCGGGGUGUGAAGUACGUUCAGCGAGGGGGCGUUACUCGCAGAAGAAGCACCGGCUAACUCCGUGCCAGCAGCCGCGGUAAUAC